rnacentral:lncRNA from 1 species
GUUAAUUUUCACGUCAGAAUUUUUGGAGUCUGCUCUCACGUGACGGAAACCCUUAGGUUCGCUUUUUUCGGACAAUCCGUAAUAAUCCAAACCGUGAACGCGGUACAGAUAUGUCAAAAGUGUAUCCAGCAACUCAACACCUUCAAGACCUUUGACUGAGGUUGACCCGCGUAUGAUUACGACUGGACCACUAGACCCAGAAUGCGACUUAUCCCUGUGUGAUCUUUCAUUAUCAGCCCUAGAUAAUAUGUUAUCUUCUAUCCCUUUUUCAAAGUCAAGUUUUUUAACAAGGGCUUGUGCCUGUUCAACGUCGGCUUGAAUCCGCCUGUGUUCAGAGCUGAUCGGGUGGGCUUUCGGGGCUGCUGAAAAGGAGUCGGUUUCUUUUGAAAUACGCCCGUGACGUCUUUUUUUACCGCCCAAAUCUGACUCGUCUUCUGAAGCGGGAUUACUUGUUCGCCCUGAUUUGUUUGCGGAUGAAGCACUUCUGA